AAUAACAUAAAAGAUUGUUUUUAUGACCAAAAGAACACAGAAAAAAUGACUAAAUUAAAUAUGUUUCAUUAAAAAGGUAAAUAACAAUUAUAUUUCUACUUAAAUAUUUUUAAAAGAGAUUUUCGCAAUAAACUGAAUUUUUUAUUUAAAAAAAAAUAUUCUAAUUUUUUCUCUCCAAAAGAACCAGAACAACCCAAAAUUAAACUCUUGGGGGAGGAGUAUAAAUGUCUUUUACUCUUCAAUAAAAUCUAUUUUAGUUAUUUUGAUUUUGAAAACUAUUUUUGUGAUAAAAACUUUUUAGUACUGCUAUAUUUCUCAACAGUUAAUUACCGCGAGAACAGCUUUGACAUGGUUAACCGUAAUGGGAACCUCCGAGUUGGCUUCUUGGUCCUUUAGCUUCAUCAACUGUUGCAAAAAGUCUUUGCACUCACCAUCAUCCUUACUUUCUAGUUUUGGCAUCUUCUCAAUGGCUCCGUCGAAUAUGGCAAGACAGUCAGUUUAGUGUUUCUUUGUUAUUUAUUACCCUGUUCUGCUGUUAAAAUCUUUGUUUGUUUUCCUUUUUAAGCUUGGGUGGAUCUCUUGAUCUUUUUUUCGGUUUCUCUUGUAUGUUGUGUAAGUUGACAGACGAAGCAAGAGUUCUGUGUUUCUUUGUAUGAUGUUUCAAGUAACUACACUUUUGAGAGAAAAGUUUGGGGUUGGGAUUAAACCAGUGUGGCUUUCAAUAUUCCCAGUUUUGCUCCCUUUUAUUUACAGCCCCUGUUUUGGUCUGCUUUAAGACAUUUAUUUUCCUACCACUCUACAACAGCGUGAAUGGUGAUGGGCUGUUGAUAACUUUAUGCCGGAAACUACUAUGUUAUCUGGCCUUGAAAUAUUUUUCUCGAAAAUUAAAGAAAAGAGAAUGAUAUCGAGCAGGUAUGAAGUGUUUAAAGUGAUUUUAAUUAAAAUUAUAAAUAAUUAUCAUUGAAAAAUAUAUAUGUUUUAUAAAUGAAAAUAUGUGUUUUUAAGUUUACAAUCUGAAAAAUAUUUUAAAUAGGUGAUUUAUAAAGAUUGAUCGUAACAUUAGUGUAUUUUGUUGUAAUUCUUAAACAAAACAUAAAAAUGAAAAAAUUAUUUUGGACUGGCUUUAAGAUAUUUUAAUUUCAUUAUAAUAUUUUUAAUUCAACUAAACUAUCUUAAACUCAUUAAAAACAUAAGAAAAAAAACUAGAUGAAUACACAUUUCUAGAUGUUUUUUUUUUUCCCAUAUAGAACUUAAAGAAAAAAACUAUAAACAUUUCGAAAAUUGGGUUCUUGGUAUUGUUAUGUUUUUAUUCAGACUUCUUUUGUUUCUUAGUUCGACUUGGGGCAUAACAGUCUGAACUACUCCUCGGCAAAAACUACAAAACCAAAUUCUAUAAAUCCGAUUCAGGUCGGGUACGGGUUUGAUUUCCAUCCUUCCCUCCGUCAGUUUGAAUACUCCGGCAAUGUUUUCUCGAUUCCUCCACAGGAUCCGAAGUUCAAAAACCCCAAUCACGUCUCUCAAUUCAAUCAAACCUUUCACCUCGCUCAACCCUAAACCCCCAACCCGAGUCGCCGUCUUCUGGGACCUAGACAACAAACCACCCGCCUCCCACCCUCCCCACGACGCCGCCGUAAAGCUCCGAACCGCCGCGUCAUCCUUCGGCUCCGUGAAACUAAUGGUGGCCUACGCGAACCGCCACGCCUUCAGCUACGUCCCCGCGCAAGUCCGAGAGGAGAGGAAAGAUCGGAGACUCCUUAACCAACUGGAGAAAACCGGUUUAGCUAAACCGGCCGAGCCGUACUUCUGCGGCGUCUGCGACCGGAGAUUCUACGCCAACGAGAAGCUCAUCGCUCAUUUCCGCCAGAUCCACGAGACGGAGAAUCAGAAGCGCGUGAGGCAGAUCGAGGCUGCUAAGGGGCAUCAGAGAGUGAGGCUUGUGGCCAAGUACUCGAUGAAGAUGGAGAAGUACAAACGAGCUGCGAGGAACGUUUUGACUCCUAAGGAAGGUUACGGUUUAGCUGAUGAGCUGAAGCGUGGCGGGUUUUGGGUUAAGAUGGUGAGUGAUAAGCCCGAGGCGGCGGAUAGAGCGUUGAAGGAGCAUAUGGUUGAUGUGAUGGAUAGGAGGGAGGCUGAGUGUUUGGUUCUCGUGUCUGAUGACUCUGGUUUCGCUGAGGUUUUGUGGGAGGCGAAGGAGAGGUGUUUGAGGACGGUGGUGAUUGGGGAUUUGAGUGAAGGGAAGCUGAAGAGGGUGGCUGACGUGGCGUAUUCGUGGAAGGAGGUUGUGAUGGGGAAGGCGAAGAAGGAAGUUGAGAAGGUUGUUGGGAAGUGGAGGGAUAGAGAUGUGUUGAAGACGUUGGAGUGGAGUUAUGAUCCUGUUUUGGAGAAGGAGAGAGGUUUUUGUUGCGGGGAUUGGGAUUAUGGGUUUGAUUCUGAUGGUGAUGAUGAUGAGGUUGAGAAUGGAGCUGAGAUGGGAGAUGGUGGUGAUUGGUGGGAGAUGGAUGAUGAAGAUGGUGCUGGAUCUUCGAGACCCUGUCGAUGAACCUCCAUAGCAUUGGUUGUACAGAUCGAGGAUAAAUCAGUACGAUCUUGUGAAGCUAUUGUCGUAUUACAUGGUUGGCAGUAGCAAAAGAGAAGAAAGAAGAAAACUGAGUGGGAGAGAUUGAAAAUUCUUCACUCUAGUAAGCUCUCUUUGAAAGUUUAUGUUCUUCAUUCAUUGUCUCUAGUUGUCUGAGAUUCUAUAGGCAGCGAUUCAAUUUGUUUUUCCAAACCAUCAAAUGGUUAGUCAGGAUAGAGAACAGGAUACGGUGCAUAGAAAGUUUUGGAUUUACAGAAUAGAUUGAAUUACUACAGAGUGUAUAUGCAUCAAAGUCCCUAGCUAGUUUAUUUUAAUUUUUUUCUGUUUUUGGUAAAUAAGGUAGAAGAACUACACUGUCCACCCUAGCAUCGGUUCGGUUUAUUAUAGUUUUUGUUUUUUUUUGUUUUUGUUCUAGAAAUAUAGGAUCCUUUUGGGUCUUUAGGAAAUCCAGUUAGAUUUUUGGUUCGGUUCGUGUAAUACAAAUGGGAAUCGGCUAAUACCCGAGAUAAUUUCGAAUCCAAUUCGGUUCCGAUUCGGUUCCAGUUUUUUGAGUUAAUGCGGGUGUUAAACAAGAAAAUUCAGGUUUUUAGAUUAAAUAUCAGAUUUUUAGUUUUUCGGAUAAAAACUCGUAUAUUUCGGAUAAUUUGAUAUAUUUUGGACAAAAAAUAUUCGGAUAAUUUGGUCUAUUUUAUUUUUAAAAUAUUUGAUUAUUUUAAAAUAGAAAAUUGUUAAUAUUUAUAAGUUAUAUAAAUUAUAGUAUCUGUUUGUGCAAUGAUAGGAUCUAAAUCCGAACCAAAAUCAUGUAAUUGUAAGCUAUCAAAAUUUAUAUUAAAGAAGUGUGGACUGAUAUGAAGCUAAUAUCAAAGCAUGUAAGUUAAACAAAUGCUCCUUAUUCAAUAAUUUUGUUAUUUUUAACCGAAACUGGUGAUUAUUUUUAUGACAAAAAACAUAGAUGACGUCCGAAAACUACAUAAACACAACGAUCUUAGCUUCUACCAAACAUAGGUUAGGAUCAGACAACCUUGAAACAGGCAUGGCAAUAAGAGGGUUUUUGAGCUUUAAGACAAUACCAAACUUGUCUUCCACAUUGAACACAUGGCCUUCUGGAAUCUUCAAAUCAAAUGAAUGUAACAGCGUGGCAAGAGUGUACUGAACCAUCCUCUCUGCUAGUGCUAAACCGGCGCAAAUCCUCCGGCCAGAUCCAAAAGGAAGAAAGCUAUAGUCAGUUCCAUGGAAAUCACAAGACUUCUUAUCAAGAAACCUCUCAGGAUGAAACUCAUUCGGAUUUUCCCACACGUUUGGAUCUCUCUGAAUAGACCAGACAUUGAUGAAGAUCUUAGUGUCCUUAGGGACUGUGUAACCGCCGACCACAGUUGUUUCUGCUGGACGGUGAGGGACUAACAAAGGAACGGUCGGAUAAAGCCUAAGUGUUUCUUUCAUAAUUGCUACUAUGUAAGGAAGUUUAGUGAUGUGUGAUUCUUCAACAAUGUUAUCUUUUCCUACAACUUCGUCUAGCUCAUGUUGCGCUCUCUUCAUCGACUCUUGGUUCUUUAUAAGCUCUGCCAUAGCAAACUCUAUCGUGUUUGUAGAUGUAUCAGUACCACCAAUCACCAUAUCCUUCGCAUAUGAAGUAUAUAACAAACACAUGAAUCAAAAUAAUUUUCAUGAGCUAAGAAACAUAUUAUGAAACAAUUAAGGGCAAAUCUUCGAAAAGAACAUAAAAUGUUCUUAUGACUAAAAGAAUACACAUAGAAUACAAUGACCAAAAUAUGUUUGUGUCAAUUGUAGAUGAUAAUUAUAUUCUGACUAUAGAUAUAUAAUAAUAAAUAAAUAUUUUAAAAGAUAUUUUUGCAAAAAAACUGAAUUUUUGUUUUCGAAGAAAAUAUUUGAACUUUUUUCUUAAAACUACCAAAAAUUAAACUUUAAAUUUAAAUUAAUUAACUUUUAAGAUAUAAAUGUCUUUUACCUGUUUGAUAAAAUCUAUUUUGGUUAUUUUGACGUUUGAAGACUUUAUUUUUAUGAUAAUUUUUUUUAGUGGUAAGAUAUAUCUCAACAAUUACUUACCGCGAGUACGGCUUUGAUAUGGACACAUGGUUAAUCGUAAUGGGAACCUCCGAGUUGGCUUCUUGGUCCUUUAGCUUCCUCAACUGUUGCAAAAAGUCUUUGCACUCACCAUCAUCCUUACUUCCUAGAUUUGGCAUCUUCUCAAUGGCUCCGUCGAAUAUGGCAUCGAGCUCACGAGCGUGGCGCAUCUGCUUCACGAGCCCUUGAAGAUUCGCUAGCCACGGAAAAAAAUCUGAAACAUUAGGCUCACCCAAAAGCCUAGUUAUAUCAGAGACCAAUCCUUUAAACUCUGUUCCAACACUCUUCAUCUCCUCGGCUUUCACCGAACUUCCCCAUAACAUAUUCGUCAUUAGGUUCAUCAUCGUCACAAACAACUGAUCACCAACGUUCACCGCCGAUUUUUCUUGACUUUUCUCGUAUAAAAACCUCGUUCUCUCUCGGAUCUCUUUGCGCCGUAGCGCGUAGAAUGAAUCCAAAAUUUUGCGGUUAAGUAGUUUGAGAACACAAACUUUUCUAAGCAUUCUCCACUCCGCCCUGUACGGUAACCAAACAAUGUCGAGACCACCAUAGCUAAUGGCUCGAGCCGUGAGAGGGACGUCACGGUUUGAGAAGUUUAUGUCUUGUUCUUUCAAGAUCUCUCGGGCUAGCGACGGAGUGUUGACCACGACGGUUAGUUUUGAGCCAAGGUUGAGUCUGAAGAUUGGACCGUAUUCUUGAGCGAGGUCUCUGAAGUAGGUGUGAAGGUCCGGUUUAAGAAACGGGAGGUUUCCGACGAUACGUAGCCCUCAGGGUCCAGGUGGUAGAGGCGGUUGCGGCGAGCAUUUGAGAAGGAACCAGAGAACUGUAAUGAUAGUAGUGAGAACUAGAAUUUCGUAAGGAGGAACGUCCAUUGUGUUGUCGGUAAAGAGAUUUGAAAACGGAGACAUAUCUUUUAUGUCUGUUUGUAGAAACUUUGAGAUAAAUGUGGUUUUAUGGUGUUUUUGCACAUCAUCAUUUCAGCUUCAGACGUUUCCCAAUAUAUUGAAAAAAUGUCAUAAAAAAAAUAAAAUUAUAGUAAAAACCAAACUUUUUUUGUGGACAUCUGGAAAUAUAUAUCCUGUGAAGGUGAUAAGAAACUUGCCAACAAAAAAUAAUUUAUUAAUGAAUACUUAUUCCUUUAAAAUAUGGGUUUUUAGUGCAACUAUAUUUUUACUUCGGAUGAAAAACUUUCAACUAAAACUUUACGUUUUAAAAUCCUUAACUAUUAAACUGUUAAUGACGUUAACCCUCCGUCGACAAAGUCGUCUUUUCUGAACGGAUUUCUGUUAAAUUGAAUCGCGGGAUUUUAUUUAAUUACAGAAACGACACAAGAUGUUUAAAACUUUUUUCUGGUUUUUAGUGAUUUAAACCCCCAACUAUUUUUAGAUCAGAUGAAAAAACCUCCAACUAAAAGUUUAUGUUUGUAAACUCUCAACUAUUGAAACGUAAAUGCAUGUAACCCUCCCUCAAUGGUGUCUUCUAUUCUGAACAAAGACAUGGUAAAUUGAAACACAACGUUUCAUUUAAGCAGAUAAACGACAUGAUAUAUUUAAAAUCAUCACGAUUGGUGUCAAAACGGCAUGAUUUUUUGAACCAGAUUUUAAAUCCCCUCAUUCUGUCUCUAGUUCUUUGAGAUUCUAUAGGCGGUGAUUCAAUCUGCUCUUCCAAACCAUCAUAUGGUUUAUCAAGUGUUUAGUCAGGCUAGAGAACAAGGUACAUUGCAUAGAUAGUUUUGGAUUCACAAAAUAGAUUGAAUUACUACAGAGUGUAUAUGCAUCAAAGUCCCAAGCUAGUUUAUUAUUAUUAUUUUUCUAUUUUAGUUAUAUUAAAGAAAUUUGACCCAAAAAAAGGAAUUUUGGACAGAUAUGAAACUAAUAUCAAAAAGCAAUGAUUGUAAGGUAAACAAAUGCUCUUAGUUCCAUAAUUUGUUUUUUUUUAAAACCAAAUUGAUGAUUAUUUUUAUUACACAAACAUACAUGACGUUCGAAAACUUCAUUAAUACAAAGAUCUUAGUUUCUACAGAUAAAGAUUAGGAUCAGACAACCUCGGAACGGGCAUGGCAAUAAGAGGGUUUUUGAGCUUCAAGACAAUACCAAACUUAUCUUCCACAUUUAACUCAUGGCCUUCUGGAAUCUUCCAAUCGAAUGAAUGCAACAGCGUUGCAAGAGUGUACUGAACCAUCCUCUCUGCGAGUGCUACACCGGCGCAAAUUCUCCGGCCAGAUCCAAAAGGAAGAAAGCUAUAGUCAGUUCCAUGGAAAUCACAAGACUUCUUAUCAAGAAACCUCUCGGGACGAAAUUCGUUCGGGUUUUCCCACACAUUUGGGUCUCUUUGAAUAGACCAAACAUUGAUGAAGAUUUUAGUGUCCUUAGGGACGGUGUAACCGCCGACCACAGCUGUUUCAGCUGGACGGUGAGGGACUAACAAAGGAACGGUCGGGUAAAGCCUAAGUGUUUCUUUCAUAAUGGCUACUAUGUAAGGUAGUCUAGUGAUGUGUGAUUCUUCAACAAUGUUAUCCUUUCCUACAACUUCGUCUAGCUCUUGUUGCGCUCUCUUCAUCGACUCUGGGUUCUUUAUAAGCUCGGCCAUCGCAAACUCUAUCGUGUUUGUAGAUGUAUCAGUACCACCAAUCACCAUAUCCUUCGCAUAUACAGUACGUAUAUAACAAACAUGAAUCAGAAUCAUUCUCAUGAGCUAAGAGACAUGUUAUGAAACAAUUAAGGGCAAAUCUCUAAAAAGAACAUAAAGAUUGUUUUUAUGACCAAAAGAACACAGAAAAAACUGACUAAAUUAAAUAUGUUUCUUUUUGUAAAUAACAAUUAUAUUUCUACUUAAAUAUUUUUAAAAGAGAUUUUCGCAAUAAACUGAAUUUUUUAUUUUAAAAACAAAUAUUCUAAUUUUUUCUCUCCAAAAAAACCAAAACAACCCAAAAUUAAACUCCAAGUUUAAAUUUAACUCUUGGAGGUAUAAAUGGUCUUUUACUCUUCAGUAAAAUCUAUUUUAGUUAUUUUGAUUUUGAAAACUAUUUUUGUUAUAAAAACUUUUUAGUACUACUAUAUUUC
rnacentral:lncRNA from 1 species